rnacentral:rRNA from 1 species
CCUACGGGUGGCAGCAGUGGGGAAUAUUGCACAAUGGGGGAAACCCUGAUGCAGCGACGCCGCGUGAGUGAAGAAGUAAUUCGUUACGUAAAGCUCCAUCAGCCGGGAAGCAAAUGACGGUACCUGAGUAAGAAGCCCCGGCUAACUACGUGCCAGCAGCCGCGGUACUACGUAGGGGGCAAGCGUUAUCCGGAUUUACUGGGUGUAAAGGGAGCGUAGACGGUUCGCCAAGUCUGGAGUGAAAUGCCGCAGCUUAACUGCGGAACUGCUGUGGAAACUGGCGACCUAGAGUGCGGGAGGGGUAAGCGGAAUGCCUAGUGUAGCGGUGAAAUGCGUAGAUAUUAGGAGGAACACCGGUGGCGAAGGCGGCUUACUGGACCGUAACUGACGUUGAGGCUCGAAAGCGUGGGGAGCGAACAGGAUUAGAUACCCUGGUAGUC